GGGAAGGGCAGCGCCCCGGCCAAGAUGGCGAUGAGGGUGGUGGCGGCGAGAGUCUCAGGGUUUAUCAGGGUCCUCCGGGCUCCCCCGUCGCCCCUCAGCGCGGGGAGAGGCCGCACGCUGGACUUUGGCUGGGUAUGGCCGCCGUGGUGGUGUCAAGCAGCCCCUUGUGCCACCCAGCGCCCUCAGGAACAGUCCAGACCGGCGUUGAUCGGGUGCUGCCCCCUCAGUACCACAGAAAAGGUUUCUGGUGUAGUGAACCACGAAGGAGGUCUGGGGAGAAAAGCUGCUGGAAGGCCACACGCAAAAAAAAAAAUGUGCGGAAUGGUCCCUUGGGUGCGAUGAGUUCCACAAGAGCAUUGCCUGUUCACUCCGUGUGAGGCCACCAGGGUGCUCUGAUGUUCUCCAAGCGCUGCUAACCUGGAUCUGAAACAGCUCCAUGUCACGUGGCAAAGUCCUGAAGUCCUCCUUCCCUUGGAAACACCUCAUUGCUCCAAGGACAUGGUUACAUGAAGAAUUACUUGGCAAAGCUGAUGGUGCACAAGGGACCAGACUCCAAGAUGAAAAGCAAGCCUUGCUGGAAUGUGAAAGCACAGAUUGCACCCUGGAUGAAUGUGGGCAGGAGCUGGAUGAAUAAAGAGAAGUGUUAGGGCUUCACUCAGAGCAACAGUUCACCUAAAAAUCUCCAGUAUUUGCUGUAAGAGAAGAAUAGGUCAAACAAGCUGCUGUGUCACUUCAGCUCCCUCUUUACUGAUGUUUGAGUGACUCUGAAUUCCUCAGCUGUAGGAUGUGAUUGUUCAAUAGGGUCAUGAAGCCUCUCCAGAAAUAUGUACUCACAAGCAGAAUGCAAAGUCCCUGCAGAAAGGAAGUUAAAUAAAAUACAACCACCCCACCUUUGUCAUGGAGAGAGGAAAGGCAAGAUAAAAACCCAUGUCUAAGAAAAACCUUUUGAACACCACUCCCCCACAAAACCCACCUUUAUGUUGGAUUUCUGAAACAGGUUCCAAAGAGCAACUCCAAGUGUGUAGGACAAGAUCAGGACAUCAAUAAACAAAGCUUGUUCUCCAUCCCAGAGAUUUUAAUUUAUCCUGUCAAUAUGAGUUAAUUAAUAAUUAAAGAGGGCACUGUGAUCCUCGUGUGGGAGGUCCUAGAAAAUGAAGAUGCAGCAGUUGAAGAUGCAGCAGGGUGCUGUCUAUUAAAAAGCAUCUUAAGGGAUUUGCUGUAUUACUAUUUUAAUUAUAAUUUAAGCUGCAAGAUUUUGAUGUGCAUUUAAGCAUUACAAUGUAGCAUUUGCAAUGCAAACGUGGCAGGAUUGAGUCCCAUCAGGUAAAUCCAGGGGAAGUAACUGAUUAUAAACACAAAUAAAACUAACACAGAUGUCUGAUGAAAUGCUAAGAUUAAGCAAAAAGCACUACUUAUAUUUCAGUUUCUCUCAUCCAAGCUUAUUGUAAUAAUUCACAGUAAACUUUGGUUUCUAACCAUAGAACUUUCACCACAGCCCUUUCCUUUUAAAUUACUUGAGAUUUAAAUAACUUAAUUACUUUUACACAGCUAAAAUGAUUGCUGUUCCUCAGAACAGAGGGCACUAGAGUUUUCAGAACAGUGCACCAAUACUUGUCCUGCCCAUGGACAUGUAUCAUUUGAUUAAAUGUUUUAAUUUUAUUUUUGGACAUUUAAACUCUGAGUAGAAUCAGCUUAUUAACCACAGUCUCAUAAAUUAUGAUAGAUGAGGUGUUCAGACUUGUUAGGAAGUUUUUAGUGAUAAAAAGUGCAGAGUUAAUAUAAUAAAAGAGCUUCUCUAGGAAGUGGUAUAAUUCCUGUUAUCUUAGACUUUUAAAAUGAGGAGAAAAUCCUAAGAGGAAACAGUUUUGCAUGUGCAUUACUUGAUCUAAAUAUAUCUUCUCAGCUUAAUGCCAUUCAUAACAAUUUUAGCACUGACCAAAAGUCAGAGUCACCAAUAAACUACAAUAUUUUGUAUUUUAUAGGUGACUUGGAUGAGGUUCUAAAGGAAUUGAGAAACUGGUACAGAAAAUAAAUCAGCUCUCCAGGAUUUUGGACAGCUGAGAUUUGGGAGACCUUCAAGCCCCUUUCAGUGCUAAAGGGGCUCCAGGAGAGCUGGAGAGGGACUUUGGAUGUGGCAUGGAGUGACAGGAU